rnacentral:SRP_RNA from 1 species
CUGCACCAGUCGGGGAGCCAGCGGUGCCCUGUAACCUGCAAUCCGCUACAGCAGGGAUGGAUUCCCAAGUGAGGACAGUGCGAUGUGCCGUCUGCCCGCGGUAAGCGGCGUUGACGCUCCGGUCUCGCGCAACGUAUUCCCGUGAACCAUGUCAGGCGGGGAACCGAGCAGCAUUAAGCGGGCCCAUACGUGUGCCGCGAGGCAGCCGGGGCCGAGCUGGCUGUCGCGGUAACGGGCGUGUCGGCUGUUCGAUCGAGGGUGUGCAG